AUACGGAGGGUGCAAGCGUUAUCCGGAUUUACUGGGUUUAAAGGGUACGCAGGCGGUAAUUUAAGUCAGUGGUGAAAGCCUACAGCUCAACUGUAGAACUGCCAUUGAAACUGAAUUACUUGAGUAUGGUAGAGGUAGGCGGAAUACAACAUGUAGCGGUGAAAUGCAUAGAUAUGUUGUAGAACACCGAUUGCGAAGGCAGCUUACUAAACCAUUACUGACGCUCAUGUACGAAAGCGUGGGGAGCGAACGGGAUUAGAAACCCUAGUAGUCC
rnacentral:rRNA from 1 species